rnacentral:rRNA from 1 species
GGCUGCAACCCGCCUGCAUGAAGUUGGAAUUGCUAGUAAUCGCGGAUCAGCAUGCCGCGGUGAAUACGUUCCCGGGUCUUGUACACACCGCCCGUCACACCAUGGGAGCCGGUAAUACCGAAGUCAGUAGUCUAACCGCAAGGAGGACGCUGCCGAAGGUAGGAUUGGCGACUGGGGUGAAGUCGUAACAAGGUACC